UGAGUUGGCCGGGUGACCGCGACACACGAAAGCGUGUCGAGGAAAGUCGGGACUCCUCAGGGCAAAGUGCUGGCGCGAGCCAGGUGGGGGCGACCUCACGGAAAGUGCAACAGAAAACAAACCGCCGUCGGGGGCAACUUCGGCGGUAAGGGUGAAACGGUGCGGUAAGAGCGCACCAGCGUCCGGGGCAACCCGUACGGCUUGGCAAACCCCACUUGGAGCAAGGUCACGCAGAGGACAUGGGCGGCCCGUCCGCCUUCGGGCAGUCCUCGGGUAGACCGCAUAGAUGGAUGGUCACCGAACCGCAAGGUUCACAGAAUCCCGCUUAUAGGCCAACUCACCAU
rnacentral:RNase_P_RNA from 1 species